AUUGAACGCUGGCGGAAUGCUUUACACAUGCAAGUCGAACGGCAGCACGGACUUCGGUCUGGUGGCGAGUGGCGAACGGGUGAGUAAUGUAUCAGAACGUGCCCAGUCGUGGGGGAUCACGUAGUGAAAAUUACGCUAAUACCGCAUACGAUCUAUGGAUGAAAGCGGGGGAUCGCAAGACCUCGCGCGAUUGGAGCGCCCGAUAUCAGAUUAGGUAGUUGGUGGGGUAAAGGCCCACCAAGCCAACGAUCUGUAGCUGGUCUGAGAGGACGACCAGCCACACUGGAAUUGAGACACGGUCCAGACUCCUACGGGAGGCAGCAGUGGGGAAUUUUGGACAAUGGGCGAAAGCCUGAUCCAGCCAUUCCGCGUGCAGGAUGAAGGCCCUCGGGUUGUAAACUGCUUUUGUACAGAACGAAAAGGUUUCUACUAAUACUAGGAGCUCAUGACGGUACUGUAAGAAUAAGCACCGGCUAACUACGUGCCAGCCGCCGCGGUAA
rnacentral:rRNA from 1 species